rnacentral:misc_RNA from 1 species
UGCUUCAUUCGCGCCGAUUUGAUACUCAGCUUGCGGGCGCUUCUAAAAAUGCAGCUAAAGAGAACCGCUAACCCUGCA